rnacentral:rRNA from 1 species
AACGAACGCUGGCGGCAUGCCUUACACAUGCAAGUCGAACGCGAAAGUGUCUUCGGACAUUAGUAGAGUGGCAAACGGGUGAGUAACGCGUGGGAAACUACCUUAUAGUACGGAAUAGCCUUGGGAAACUGGGAUUAAUACCGUAUAUUCCCUCAGUGGGAAAGAUUUAUCGCUAUAAGAUGUGCCCGCGUCAGAUUAGCUAGUUGGUCGGGUAAUAGCCUACCAAGGCAACGAUCUGUAGCUGGUCUGAGAGGACGAUCAGCCACACUGGGACUGAGACACGGCCCAGACUCCUACGGGAGGCAGCAGUGGGGAAUAUUGGACAAUGGACGCAAGUCUGAUCCAGCAAUGCCGCGUGAAUGAUGAAGGCCUUAGGGUUGUAAAGUUCUUUAAGUGGGGAAGAUAAUGACGGUACCCACAGAAUAAGCACCGGCUAACUUCGUGCCAGCAGCCGCGGUAA